rnacentral:ncRNA from 1 species
GUGGUUUGAUUCAAUGCAAAGCAAAGAACCUUAUCAGGACUUGACAUGUCGUAAAUCCUCUUGAAAUAGAAGGGCGCCUUCAGGAACGCAGACACAUGUGCAUGGUUGUCGUCAGCUCGUGCCGUAAGGUGUUGGUUUAAGUCCCGGAACAAGCUCAACCCUUGCGUAGCUAGAUAUACCAUUGUACCCUAUCUAGCACGACGGAUGUUGUUUUCGACUAUAUACUAUUUCCCUCGGAACGUGCUUUCUGGUGUUUCUAAAUCAAGAGUUUGUCAAAAACAACCUCUCUGCCCCACAAAGAUAGGGAUAAAAUUUGUAUACGCCUUACCUUCUCUCAACCUAC